UGCCUGUCAACUCGAAACCUGUCUCAUCAACUUCAGGACUGGCUGAGAAACCAACUCAGAACCAAACACUUGUGGAAAAAUUGAGAGCUUCCGUAGACAACACAUUGAGGCGUCUCGCUCCUAUCACGAUAGCUCCCUCUGGUCGUCCAAGAGUAGUCAUUCCUGACACUGUGUUGAAAAAAGGUGCAGAAAUACACAAAGACUUCAUCAUAUGCUACUUCAAUGGGAAGUCUCCACCCUAUAAUCAAAUACAAAGUGUGUUUAAUUAUAUGUGGGGAAAAGGAAAGAAGCUAGAGAUCCACAACAACCCAUUAAACCAUUCAGUGAUAGUGAGAAUACAAAGUGAAUACCUCAGGAACAAGAUACUGGGGAAAAGCAUAUGGUAUGUUGGAGACUCAAUGUUUCACACUGCUCAGUGGAACUCUAAUCACUCGAUGAUGACCCCUCCGCUGAAAGCUAUCAAGAUUUGGGCACAUCUAACGGGUGUUCUACUAGACCUUCGUUAUGAUGAGGGACUGAGCCUUGUGGCGGGACUAGUGGGAGAGCCAAAAGAGACCAACGAUUUCACAAAAAAUAUGGUCAGUCUUACAGUAUCUCACGUCAAGGUUGAAGUAGACUUAACGGUACCAUUACCUCCGGUGGUGGAAUAUGAGAGGGAGAAUAGACAAGUGGUUGAAGUCUUGGUUCAUUACCCAUGGGUUCUUCCAACUUGCUCACACUGUCAAGAACUGGGUCAUAUAGUGAGGAACUGUCUCAGCUACACCCCCCUCCUGCUCCUGAAA
rnacentral:lncRNA from 1 species